rnacentral:rRNA from 1 species
CCGUUCCCAUCCCGAACACGGAAGUUAAGCUCUUCAGCGCCGAUGGUACUGCACGGGAAGCUGUGUGGGAGAGUAGGACGCUGCCGAAA